rnacentral:rRNA from 1 species
UACGAAGGGUGCAAGCGUUGUUCGGAAUCACUGGGCGUAAAGCGUGCGCAGGCGGCCAUUCAAGUCAGGGGUGAAAUCCCGGAGCUUAACUCCGGAAUUGCCUUUGAAACUGUAUGGCUUGAGUCUCGGAGGGGAUAGCGGAAUACCUAAUGUAGCGGUGAAAUGCGUAGAUAUUAGGUGGAACACCGGUGGCGAAGGCGGCUAUCUGGACGAGUACUGACGCUCAUGCACGAAAGCGUGGGGAGCAAAC